AAUAAGGAGCCCCGUGACGGUGGAGCUUCCACUAAAGGAUUCACGAGCUCCCAGGAACGAAGCGCUCCAACUGCGAUUCUGACUGUCGGCAGCUCCAAGAAGAAAACCUAAUCGCAUAACGAAGGAGGAAGAGGAGGAGGAAGAAGAAGAAAGAGGGGAAAAUGCAGAGAAUAUUCGGCGUUAAGAAGAACAAUGACCCUCCUUCCAUUUCAGAUGCCAACGAUCGGAUUGGCAAAAGAGGUGAAACAGUUGAUGAGAAGAUUAAAAAACUAGAUUCUGAGCUUGCUAGAUACAAAGAACAGAUCAAGAAAACCCGACCUGGUCCUGCUCAAGAAGCUAUCAAAGCCCGAGCCAUGAGGGUUCUCAAGCAGAAGAGGAUCUAUGAAGGACAACGUGAUAUGCUCUACAAUCAGACAUUCAAUCUAGACCAAGUUGCAUUUGCCACUGAUAAUGCUCGGCAAACACUCCCCAAGGUGCAUGGUUCAAGGAAUUUCAGCUGGAGCAUAUUCUCUACCUGCUUGCCUACCUCAUAAGAGCUAGGGGAGAUACCCAUUUGUCACUAGCGGUUGAUUUCUGUUAUGUCAGCUUUAAAAUCAGCAAACAAGGAGCUUAAAGGAAUGAUGAAAACCGUCAAGAUUCAAGACAUAGAUAGCUUACGAGAUGAAAUGAUGGACCUGAUGGACAUCAGCAAUGAAAUUCAAGAGUCCCUUGGUAGAAGCUAUAAUGAACUCAUGGGUGAGCUGGAUGCUUUGGAAGCUGACAUGGGAACGGAGACCGAAGGUGAUAGGGUGCCUGCUAAUCUUCAACCUGAUCUGGAAUUGGAACUUAACUUCCCUUCAGCAACACUAGCGCAUGCAGCAGUACCGUCUGGCAGUGUCAACACCCAGGAAGAGGAUGAAUGGGCUUUACCUGCUGGGAAGGGUCGGAUUUGGGUGAGCCAUUGUGAACAUGAUGGUGUAGAACACGUCUUGCAACGGGUGUGGGAGGUUUGUAAAUUCUUUUUAAAUGGCAAGUGCCCAUGUCAUGUGGACCUUGUAUGAGAGAAAUGGAGAGCAAACAAUGACAAAAAGAAAAGAAAAAGCAGACCCACCCUGUUAAUAGUUGUUGUAUCAGUGGGAAAAUACAUGAGAUGGGAAACUGGCUGACAAGGGGCUAAGCCAUGUUCUCCAAGGGGUUCCUAAAGGCUAGAAUCCAUCCAUCCAUCCCAUUCUAUACCCUAAUAUGGCUCAAACAUCUAGUCAUUGAAAGGGAAACAGCAAAGCCAUUUCCUUUCCAUUUUGAU